rnacentral:rRNA from 1 species
UCUUCGAGCUGCAUACGAAGCUCUGGAGGCUCAACGAAAGUAAACGAAGUCGCGAAGCGCCUCGUGCGCUUCGCGGUGGCAAAUCCAGAAUGAGCGCGAGCGGCGCCGCGUGCCUCGCUCCGCUUUUUGUAUUCUGGCGCACGCCAGGGGCCCGCCCACAUUCGGAUUCGAACGAUGCGUUCGCCUCGCGGGGCGAGCGCCUCUCGUCGAAACGAGGGCGGGCACUCCGAGCGCGCGGGUUAGUACCCGAAAGAUGGUGAUCUAUGCUUGUUUAGGACGAAGCCGGGGGAAACACCGGUGGAGGUUCGUAGCGAUUCUGACGUGCAAAUCGAUCGUCGGAGCUGAGUAUAGGGGCGAAAGACCAAUCGAACUAUCUAGUAGCUGGUUCCUUCCGAA